rnacentral:rRNA from 1 species
GACGAACGCUGGCGGCGUGCUUAACACAUGCAAGUCGAGCGGUAAGGCCCUUUCGGGGGUACACGAGCGGCGAACGGGUGAGUAACACGUGGUGACCUGCCCUCAGCUCUGGGAUAAGCCUGGGAAACCGGGUCUAAUACCGGAUAUGACUCCAUGACGCAUGUUGUGGGGUGGAAAGCCUUGUGCGGCUGAGGAUGGGCCCGCGGCCUAUCAGCUUGUUGGUGGGGUGAGGCCUACCAAGGCGACGACGGGUAGCCGGCCUGAGAGGGCGACCGGCCACACUGGGACUGAGACACGGCCCAGACUCCUACGGGAGGCAGCAGUGGGGAAUAUUGGACAAUGGGCGCAAGCCUGAUCCAGCAAUGCCGCGUGAGCGAAGAAGGCCUUAGGGUUGUAAAGCUCUUUCGGC